rnacentral:miRNA from 15 species
GUCGUCCGGGGUGAUCUACUUGACAGAAGAGAGUGAGCACACAGCGGCGUGGGUGUCGCCGGGAUGCCGUCGCUGUUGCGUGCUCACGUCUCUCUCUGUCAUCCCUUUCUCCCUGGCGGU